AAGGGCCGGGCGGGGAGGCGUCAGGAGGCGGCUCCGGUAAUUCGCCCGUCAAAGUUGUCUGGGAAUGCUGUGGCUGCCACUAUGACACCAGCGAACGGACUAUCGCAUCGCAUCUCCCUGCCGCGCUUUCUCAUCUGGAGAAACAACCGAUUCCUAUUUAAGGCAUCUUCGGUAUCUAAUUAAUUCCACGGGCUCGCCUGCACAGGUCGUCGGUGCUCUGUGUCAAUGAACGGUCUUUGUUAUCGCUAUGUAAAAUCCGGCAGCGAUUUCAGCAGGAAUUUCUAAGCCACCCUGUUCUAGGAAAGCCAUUAGCUCCCCCUCAUGCAAUUAGUGGAGACUGCUCCCUUUUCUUCCUUUGCGAUACCACAGAGACUUAAGAACCCAAGUGUACGGGAACAGUAGGAAUAAACAAAAUACAUUAAUAUAACGAUAA